rnacentral:rRNA from 1 species
UACGUAGGGGGCAAGCGUUGUUCGGAAUUACUGGGCGUAAAGCGCGCGUAGGCGGCUUUGCAAGUCGAGUGUGAAAUCCCCGGGCUUAACCCGGGAACUGCAUUCGAGACUGCAUAGCUAGAGUAUGGGAGAGGGAAGUGGAAUUUCAGGUGUAGCGGUGAAAUGCGUAGAUAUCUGAAGGAACAUCAGUGGCGAAAGCGACUUCCUGGACCAAUACUGACGCUCAUGUGCGAAAGCGUGGGGAGCAAACAGG